rnacentral:rRNA from 1 species
UACGAGGGGUGCAAGCGUUGCUCGGAAUUAUUGGGCGUAAAGGGUAGGUAGGUGGUCUCAUUUGUCGGGGGUGAAAGCCUUGUGCUUAACACAAGAAGUGCCCCCGAAACGGUGAGACUCGAGUCUUGGAGAGGGUUGCGGAAUUCCCGGUGUAGCGGUGAAAUGCGUAGAGAUCGGGAGGAACACCAGCGGCGAAGGCGGCAACCUGGACAAGUACUGACACUCAACUACGAAAGCGUGGGGAGCAAACAGG